AUCUUUCUAGUACCAACGUUAGUACAAGUGACUUCCAAUCACAUAGUCUUGGUUAAAAUCCAAGGAAAGAUA
ensembl:Mt_tRNA